rnacentral:lncRNA from 1 species
CUCACUUACAUAAUAAGAGUUGGGUUUCGCGGGUUUGGAGGUUGGUUUGGAUUAGAAUACUGAAAUGACCUCCAUAUAAAUUAAAUAUCGUAGGAGAACCUUGAAAUUUACACAUAUAUUAUAAUACACAUUUAUACAACAACAAAAACAGAAAAAUAUAAAAUAUAAAUUGAAAAGGUUUUGUGACAAUUAUCACCUUCUUCUGUUAUGGGGGCGGCCAUGCAUGCACAUGCCUAAAACCACGCUUAAAGAAAAAUAAUAAUACAAUUGGAAAGAUCCGCAACACAUAAAAACAUUACAAAUAUAAUAAUAGUAUAUAUAAUAAAAGGUCGGCGGUGACUGGCUGAAGAAGACGAUCGGCGAUCGGCUAACCUUUGUUAAUUAGUUGGAGAAGAAGUAAUUAAAAGCUGAAGACGAAGAAGAAGAUCCCAAAUCACCGGAGGAAACUGGAGGCAUUGUGCUGAAAAGUGGGCUGUGCGACGUCACGCUAUCGUCAUACCCGAAAUUGUAAUACCCACCGGCUGAAUUACUCAUCAGCAUGCUAUUUUGAUCAUCGCCACCCAUGAUCAUAUCGUCGUCGAAAUUAGACGACACGUUGAUCGACAUGCUCCCGACCUCGCAACUCGGCAAUGGCGGCAGCUCAUCAUACUGAUACUGCUGGUAACUGUUCACGGUAGUAGCAUUACUACUAGAAUAGUAAUUAUCUUGUCCGGCGGGCAAUCCCUCCUGAUAAUAGUUACAGCUGUUAUUAUCGACCAUCGAGUUCAACUCGUGGUGGUUGUAGUUGUAGUUCUGUUGUUGUUGUUGUUGUUGUUGUUGUUGUUGUUGUUGUUGUUGUUGUUGUUGUUGUUGUUGUUGUUGUUGUUGUUGUUGUUGUUGUUGUUGUUGUUGUUGUUGUUGUUGUUGUUGUUGUUGUUGUUGUUGUUGUUGUUGUUGUUGUUGUUGUUGUUGUUGUUGUUGUUGUUGUUGUUGUUGUUGUUGUUGUUGUUGUUGUUGUUGUUGUUGUUGUUGUUGUUGUUGUUGUUGUUGUUGUUGUUGUUGUUGUUGUUGUUGUUGUUGUUGUUGUUGUUGUUGUUGUUGUUGUUGUUGUUGUUGUUGUUGUUGUUGUUGUUGUUGUUGUUGUUGUUGUUGUUGUUGUUGUUGUUGUUGUUGUUGUUGUUGAGGUGACAAGAUUGAGGUGACGGAGCAGCCAGCAGGAGUAUCAGAGUAGACAAAGUUGGUGCGGGCCCGAGGCCCACGCAUUGAGCGGGCAGCCCGGUCAUAAGCCAGGGCAGCUUCCUCAGCAGUGUCGAAUGUGCCAAGCCAGUGUCGUUCCUUGGUAGUCGGGUCCCUUAUCUCGGCAGCGUAUCUCCCCCACGGCCUCCUCCUUACGCCGAGAAACCUCGUCUCCGUCGCAGGUGCCGGUGUGCCUGACUGAUCUUGCUGCUUCUUGCCUCUUUUCCCACCGUUGGAAUUCUUGUUCAUUUUGUAAAGAGUAGAGGAAGGGGGGAAUAUAGAAGAAGGUGGUUGUUAGUUUAGAGAUGAAUGUUGGUCAAGCGGUGCAUGUGGUGAAUGGUGCAUUGCUCAAUUGGCUCCUUGUUUCUAUUUAUAAGGACAAAUUAUAGAGGGG